GAUGAACGCUGGCGGCGUGCCUAAUACAUGCAAGUCGAGCGAACAGAUGAGGAGCUUGCUCCUCUGACGUUAGCGGCGGACGGGUGAGUAACACGUGGAUAACCUACCUAUAAGACUGGGAUAACUUCGGGAAACCGGAGCUAAUACCGGAUAAUAUAUUGAACCGCAUGGUUCAAUAGUGAAAGACGGUUUUGCUGUCACUUAUAGAUGGAUCCGCGCCGCAUUAGCUAGUUGGUAAGGUACGGCUUACCAAGGCAACGAUGCGUAGCCGACCUGAGAGGGUGAUCGGCCACACUGGAACUGAGACACGGUCCAGACUCCUACGGGAGGCAGCAGUAGGGAAUCUUCCGCAAAGGGCGAAAGCCUGACGGAGCAACGCCGCGUGAGUGAUGAAGGUCUUCGGAUCGUAAAACUCUGUUAUUAGGGAAGAACAAAUGUGUAAGUAACUAUGCACGUCUUGACGGUACCUAAUCAGAAAGCCACGGCUAACUACGUG
rnacentral:rRNA from 1 species